UACGAAGGGGGCUAGCGUUGCUCGGAAUCACUGGGCGUAAAGGGUGCGUAGGCGGGUCUUUUAAGUCAGGGGUGAAAUCCUGGAGCUCAACUCCAGAACUGCCUUUGAUACUGAAGAUCUUGAGUUCGGGAGAGGUGAGUGGAACUGCGAGUGUAGAGGUGAAAUUCGUAGAUAUUCGCAAGAACACCAGUGGCGGAAGGCGGCUCACUGGCCCGAUACUGACGCUGAGGCACGAAAGCGUGGGGAGCAAACAGGG
rnacentral:rRNA from 1 species